GACGAACGCUGGCGGCGUGCUUAACACAUGCAAGUCGAACGGAAAGGCCCUGCUUUUGUGGGGUGCUCGAGUGGCGAACGGGUGAGUAAAACGUGAGUAACCUGUCCUUGUCUUUGGGAUAACUUCAGGAAACUGGGGCUAAUACCGGAUAGAAGAUCCUGCUGCAUGGUGGGGGUUGGAAAGUUUCGGCGGUUGGGGAUGGAUUAGCAGGUUAUGCGCUUGUUGGUGGGGUAGUCGCUGACCAAGGCUUUGACGGGUAGCCGGCCUGAGAGGGUGAACGGCGACAUGGGUACUACGAGACGGCGCAGACGGCUACGGGAGGCAGCAGGGGGGAGUAUGGCAGAAUGGGCGGAAGCCUGAGGCAGAGACGCCGCGAGCGGGAUGACGGCCUUCGGGGGGUGAACCGCUUUCGCCUGUGACGAAGCGUGAGUGACGGUAAUGGGUAAAGAAGCACCGGCUAACUACGUG
rnacentral:rRNA from 1 species